UACAGAGGGCCCGAGCGUUGCGCGGAUUCAUUGGGCUUAAAGGGUGCGUAGGCGGAAGCGUAAGUGCUUUGUGAAAGCCCACGGCUCAACCGUGGAAUUGCAGGGCAUACUGCGCUUCUUGAGGCCAGUAGGGGUUGCCGGAACUCUAGGUGUAGCGGUGAAAUGCGUAGAUAUCUAGAGGAACGCCGAUGGUGAAGACAGGCAACUGGGCUGGUUCUGACGCUGAGGCACGAAAGCGUGGGGAGCAAACAGG
rnacentral:misc_RNA from 1 species